rnacentral:rRNA from 1 species
CUGCUUCCAGGAAAAGCCUCUAAGCAUCAGGUAACACGAAAUCGUACCCCAAACCGACACAGGUGGUCAGGUAGAGAAUACCAAGGCGCUUGAGAGAACUCGGGUGAAGGAACUAGGCAAAAUGGUGCCGUAACUUCGGGAGAAGGCACGCUGACACGUAGGUGAAGUGAUUUACUCAUGGAGCUGAAGUCAGUCGAAGAUACCAGCUGGCUGCAACUGUUUAUUAAAAACACAGCACUGUGCAAACACGAAAGUGGACGUAUACGGUGUGACGCCUGCCCGGUGCCGGAAGGUUAAUUGAUGGGGUCAGCGCAAGCGAAGCUCCUGAUCGAAGCCCCGGUAAACGGCGGCCGUAACUAUAACGGUCCUAAGGUAGCGAAAUUCCUUGUCGGGUAAGUUCCGACCUGCACGAAUGGCGUAAUGAUGGCCAGGCUGUCUCCACCCGAGACUCAGUGAAAUUGAACUCGCUGUGAAGAUGCAGUGUACCCGCGGCAAGACGGAAAGACCCCGUGAACCUUUACUAUAGCUUGACACUGAACAUUGAGCCUUGAUGUGUAGGAUAGGUGGGAGGCUUUGAAGUGUGGACGCCAGUCUGCAUGGAGCCGACCUUGAAAUACCACCCUUUAAUGUUUGAUGUUCUAACGUGGACCCGUAAUCCGGGUUGCGGACAGUGUCUGGUGGGUAGUUUGACUGGGGCGGUCUCCUCCUAAAGAGUAACGGAGGAGCACGAAGGUUGGCUAAUCCUGGUCGGACAUCAGGAGGUUAGUGCAAUGGCAUAAGCCAGCUUGACUGCGAGCGUGACGGCGCGAGCAGGUGCGAAAGCAGGUCAUAGUGAUCCGGUGGUUCUGAAUGGAAGGGCCAUCGCUCAACGGAUAAAAGGUACUCCGGGGAUAACAGGCUGAUACCGCCCAAGAGUUCAUAUCGACGGCGGUGUUUGGCACCUCGAUGUCGGCUCAUCACAUCCUGGGGCUGAAGUAGGUCCCAAGGGUAUGGCUGUUCGCCAUUUAAAGUGGUACGCGAGCUGGGUUUAGAACGUCGUGAGACAGUUCGGUCCCUAUCUGCCGUGGGCGCUGGAGAACUGAGGGGGGCUGCUCCUAGUACGAGAGGACCGGAGUGGACGCAUCACUGGUGUUCGGGUUGUCAUGCCAAUGGCACUGCCCGGUAGCUAAAUGCGGAAGAGAUAAGUGCUGAAAGCAUCUAAGCACGAAACUUGCCCCGAGAUGAGUUCUCCCUGAGACUUAGAGUCUCCUGAAGGAACGUUGAAGACGACGACGUUGAUAGGCCGGGUGUGUAAGCGCAGCGAUGCGUUGAGCUAACCGGUACUAAUGAACCGUGAGGCUUAACCUU